GCCACAUCCCAUAUGAUCACCAAAGUUAAGCAAUGUUGAACCUGGUCAGUACCUAGAUGGAUGACUGUUUGGGAAUGCCAGGUGCUAUA